rnacentral:snoRNA from 1 species
GCAUGUGCCAUACAAAAACGCUUUUCUCCCCCCUGGGCCUCUCAUAGUGUCCCAUGCCAGAGCAAACUGUGGCCCUGAACCAUUGCCUGGCCUCUGUGCCGUAGACUGCAGGCACUGAAGCGGGUCGCACAGUG